ACUGUUCAUUCGGGAACGAGAGAUACUGCAGCUCGAUCAGAGACAAGAGUACCAGCACGUACAUACGCUAUCCGGGCAAGGGAAGAAGCUUCUGCUCCAGAUGUGAUAGCUGAUCAAGAAUCCAAAGAAGAACGAGGAAAAGAAAAAGUUGCGGAAUAGUCCCAAAAUUUCAAUAUCUUCUACAAAUUAGCCGGAUUGACUUGAAGUGAAGUGGGUAGAUCGGAUCAACACAACAAAGCACACUAUCCAGAUCAAUUCCGGUAGCUUUUGUUUUAUGUUUGAAGAUUUAUAUGGCAUGUAUAGAGUUUGAAUGAAUUGAAGUAAAGAUGUUAUAAACUAGUUAACAA